rnacentral:lncRNA from 10 species
AGCACAUAGCACUGGCUGGUUAUAAAGGACUUGUCUAGGGGAGAGCCUGUAGGUACUCCAUUGUCUGGUAAAGUUCAUAUGACUGCAUUCUUUUUGCAAGGGGGGUGGAGGGAGAGCGGGGAAGGAGGGGGUGUCAGCUCAACUGUAAAAGCUGCACAGAUUUUUUUUCUUUCUCUCUCUCUGCCUCUCCAUAGAUUGUUUCUGUUUCAUGCCCUGUCUCAUUUCGCAUAGCUAAAAAAGAAUGCUAAUUAAGAUCCCUUGUCUUAACCUGAAAAAUAAUGACUCGGCUGUAAUUAGAAAUCUGGUGAGAGUUUAAAAAUUCUGGUAGGGGACCAAAAACAUCAGUUACGGUGCUUAGGAAGAAAAUGAAGAAUUAUUUUUCUGAAAUCAAGAUGGAUCUGAGAACGCUGUCUGGGCUUGGUACCAAGAGCUGGUAUUUCACAGCAGCGACCGCCUCACAGACGAGCUGUGGGAAGCAGGAGGGAGACUCUCUCUUAGGGUGCCACUACUAUGGAGACACAGCUGGGCUGAACAAGAUUUGCUUCAAACGACAACAAGAGAGACAGAAAGUAUCUGGUUCAACCGCUGCCCGAGCAGGCAGGCACCAGAAGAGCUAGCAGCCAAUCCGGCCAUGCUCGAAGCCAGCUCUGCAGCUCAGCCAAUCAGUGACAUCAUUGCUUUCUUUAGCUUGCCCAUGGUGAUGUGAAGAUGAGAAGAAAUAGCAAGGCCCAACCAGUUCUUCAUCUGGAGACAGUUCAACGUUCUGCAAACCAGAUCUUCAGGAAUUUUACUGGGAUAAUUAUCCAAAUAAAUUGCAAGCAUUCUAUCCAAAUGGAGCUCUUUCUGAGAUGAAGAGAAUUCUCAAUGUCAAGAUUUGAACAAGAAGAGAAUGGAAUACACAAUAUGGACAUCCAUAAAAAUUCAUCAGAGAGCAUUUUACUACUGAGCUGCAAAGGGAAAAACUUAAAAUGGAUAUGAAAAGUGAAGAAAGUGAUCAUAGGAGAAAACCAUUUCAGAUGACAAGAGCACCUCAAAGGCAGCAGCCUCAAGGAGCAGCCAUGGCCCCAGACUUGUCGCACGGAUGCAGAAAACUUAAUGGAGGAGGCUGAGGAACUCUUCCAGACUCUGGGAAAUAUGUCUCCAAGAAAGCAGACAAUACCCCUGCCCUCUGUGGAAGACUGACAAAUAUACAAGUGCAUAUGUAUAUAUAGACUGUCAGAUGAUGUAAGUAUGAUGAAGAAAAUGAAAGCCAUGUAAUGGGUGAUGGAGCGGGGCAUAGAAAGGUGCCAUUUGCUAUUUUAUAGAAGUAGAUCAGGGAAGACCAUGUCAUGGUAGAUAUCUGAGCAGAGACCAUUCCAGGUGUGGGAGCAUGUCAGAGAGGUAUCCAGGGGCAACAGUUCCAGGCAGAGAAAGCAUGAAGAGCAAGGUGCCCAAGGCCAGAGCAUGUGUGCUUGGCAUUUUCCAGGAGCAGCAAGGAAUUUAGUGUGGCUGAAGGAGAAUGAGCAAGGGAGAAAGCAGCAGGAGAGUGCACAUGAAGCCCUGUGUGCCAUUACGAAGACUCUGCUUUUUUUUUUUUUUUGAGU